rnacentral:rRNA from 1 species
CCAAUAGCGUAUAUUAAAGUUGUUGCAGUUAAAAAGCUCGUAGUUGAAUUUCGGGAUUGGCGCAUCGGUCGUGCCUCACGGGGUAUGAACUGGUGCAGUCAAUUUCUCACCUUCUGGAGAACCGCGAUGUCCUUAAUUGGAUGCCGCGGGGAACCAGGACCUUUACUUUGAAAAAAUUAGAGUGUUUAAAGCAGGCAUUUUUGCUUGAAUACAUUAGCAUGGAAUAAUAAAAUAGGACGGCAUGGUUCUAUUUUGUUGGUUUCUAGGACCACCGUAAUGAUUAAUAGGGAUAGUUGGGGGCAUUAGUAUUCAAUUGUCAGAGGUGAAAUUCUUGGAUUUAUUGAAGACUAACUACUGCGAAAGCAUUUGCCAAGGAUGUUUUCAUUAAUCAAGAACGAAAGUUAGGGGAUCGAAGACGAUCGGAUACCGUCGUAGUCUUAACCAUAAACUAUGCCGACUAGGAAUCAGACGAUGUUAAUUUUUUAAUGACUCGUUUGGCACCUUAC